rnacentral:ncRNA from 1 species
UGCCCCUUGCCUUGGGGGGUUUGUGGCAGUGUGAUAUAGUUAAUCUGCCAAGCCUGCCCAUAUUUAUAUUUCAGCCAUCGUCCCCCAUACCACAUAGGCUUUACCCACUUCACUUGCUUGAUUGCAGCGCAUGUUUCACAUUCGUGGAUAGCCUGUGCAAUAGCGUCCAUAGUCAAGUCCACCACUUGAUCACGAGCCCGUCUGUAUGUUGCAUCUCUUCCUUGAUGGCCUGAGGUGUCAUGGGCCUCAUGAUCCUUCUGGCUUUUUGGGUUUUAAACAGGAGGUGUCAGAAAAGUUACCACAGGCAUAACUGACUUGUGGCAGCCAAGCGUUCAUAGCAAUGUCACUUUUUGAUCCUUAGGGAGUAGGACAUAUCUCCUUUGAGUU